GAUGAACGCUGGCGGCGUGCCUGAUACAUGCAAGUCGAGCGAACGGACGAGAAGCUUGCUUCUCUGAUGUUAGCGGCGGACGGGUGAGUAACACGUGGAUAACCUACCUAUAAGACUGGGAUAACUUCGGGAAACCGGAGCUAAUACCGGAUAAUAUUUUGAACCGCAUGGUUCAAAAGUGAAAGACGGUCUUACUGUCACUUAUAGAUGGAUCCGCGCUGCAUUAGCUAGUUGGUAAGGUAACGGCUUACCAAGGCAACGAUGCAUAGCCGACCUGAGAGGGUGAUCGGCCACACUGGAACUGAGACACGGUCCAGACUCCUACGGGAGGCAGCAGUAGGGAAUCUUCCGCAAUGGGCGAAAGCCUGACGGAGCAACGCCGCGUGAGUGAUGAAGGUCUUCGGAUCGUAAAACUCUGUUAUUAGGGAAGAACAUAUGUGUAAGUAACUGUGCACAUCUUGACGGUACCUAAUCAGAAAGCCACGGCUAACUACGUG
rnacentral:rRNA from 1 species